rnacentral:lncRNA from 1 species
AUUGCCUUAUUCAAGCACUUUUAUUCUCCAUCAGUUUGCAGAAUAUUGAAUUGUAUCGUUUUAAGUAGAGAAUUGAAAUUCUCGGAACAUCAUUGUUCAAGCCUUAAUAAAGGCUGCAGAAUUUUGAAGUUUAUGUCAAGCUGUCCCAGUACAACAAGACAAUCCUUUACUUAUAGACAUAGAUCGACAAGCAUAUGAUCUUAGCUUUUGUUAGGCCAAAUCGGAAUGAUGUCCCAGCUACAUCAAUAUAUCUUUAAUUGCCUAUUUGCCUUAUUCAAGGACUUUUAUUCUCCAUUUUGCAGAAUAUUGAAUUAUAUCGUUUAAGUAGAGAAUUGAAAUUCUCGGAACAUCAUUGUCCAAGCCUUAUUAAUAAAGACUGAUCUUAGCCGAAUUUUGAACUUUAUAUCAAGCUGUCCCAGUACAGCAAGACAAUAGAACUAUAGAGACUGGUUUCUCCAAUCUUUUACUUACGGACAUAGAUCGACAAGCAUAUGAUCUUAGCUUUUGUUAGGCAACAUAGGACUAUGCUGUCCCAGCUACAGCAAUACCUCUUCAAACGGACAAUCGCCUUAUCAAAGGACUUUUAUUCUCCAUCAAUUUGCAGAAUAUUGAACUGUUUCUUUUAAGCAGAGAAAUGAAUUUCUCAGGACAUCAUUGUCCAAGCCUUAAUAAAGGCUGAUCUUAGCAGAAUUUUGAACUUUAUAUCAAGCUGUCCCAGUACAGCAAGACAAUAGAACUAUAGAGACAGGUUUCUCCAAUCUUUUACUUUCGGACAUAGAUCGACAAGCAUAUGAUCUAACUUAUAACAUCGGACUUAUGCUGUCCCAGCUACAGCAAUGUAUUUUUAAUCGAACAAUUGCCUUAUCAAAGGACUUUUACUCUCCAUCAUUUAGCAGAGAAAUGAAUUUCUCGGGACAUCAUUGUCCAAGCCUUAAUAUAGGCUGAUCUUAGCAGAAUUUUGAACUUUAUAUCAAGCUGUCCCAGUACAGCAAGACAAUAGAACUAUAGAUACAGGUUUCUCCAAUCUUUUACUUUCGGACAUAGAUCGACAAGCAUAUGAUCUAACUUAUAACAUCGGACUUAUGCUGUCCC